AGCGAACGCUGGCGGCAGGCCUAACACAUGCAAGUCGAACGGAUCCUUCAGGAUUAGUGGCGGACGGGUGAGUAACACGUGGGAACGUGCCCUUUGGUUCGGAACAACUCAGGGAAACUUGAGCUAAUACCGGAUGUGCCCUUCGGGGGAAAGAUUUAUCGCCAUUGGAGCGGCCCGCGUCUGAUUAGCUAGUUGGUGAGGUAAAGGCUCACCAAGGCGACGAUCAGUAGCUGGUCUGAGAGGAUGAUCAGCCACAUUGGGACUGAGACACGGCCCAAACUCCUGCGGGAGGCAGCAGUGGGGAAUCUUGCGCAAUGGGCGAAAGCCUGACGCAGCCAUGCCGCGUGAAUGAUGAAGGUCUUAGGAUUGUAAAAUUCUUUCACCGGGGACGAUAAUGACGGUACCCGGAGAAGAAGCCCCGGCUAACUUCGUGCCAGCGGCCGCCGUAAUAC
rnacentral:rRNA from 1 species